rnacentral:tRNA from 1 species
GGGCCUGUGGCGCAGCUGGUAGCGCACCUCCAUGGCAUGGAGGGGGUCAGGGGUUCGAGUCCCCUCAGCUCCACC